rnacentral:rRNA from 1 species
AUUGAACGCUGGCGGCAGGCCUAACACAUGCAAGUCGAACGAGUGGCGGACGGUUGAGUAAUGUCUGGGAAACUGCCCGAUGGAGGGGGAUAACUACUGGAAACGGUAGCUAAUACCGCAUACCCUCGGAUGUGCCCAGAUGGGAUUAGCUAGUGGGUGGGGGAACGGCCCACCUAGGCGACGAUCCCUAGCUGGUCUGAGAGGAUGACCAGGCACAAUGGAACUGAGACACGGGCCAGACGCCUACGGGAGGCAGGAGGGGGGAAUAUUGCAAAAUGGGCGCAAGCCUGAUGCAGCCAUGCCGCGGGUAUGAAUAAGUCCUUCGGGUUGGAAAGUACUUUCAGCGAGGAGGCGUUACUCGAAGAAGAAGCACCGGCUAACUCCGUGCCAGGAGCCGCGGUAAUUC